AACAGUGUAGAGAGGGAAGACUAUUCGAAUGCUGCUUACUUUGCUAAGAAGCGAACAGUUCUUCUGCACGAGCUGAGAGUACAGUGUCUGUCGGCGUAGCAGGGUUCAAAGUUGCAUUUGAUCCGCAGUUUUGGAUUUUUGCCAACUCGGAUUGAGCUUGCUAUGUGAAAGCGGGAGAGAUACAAUGUAUCCAAGCCUGAACUCUCAUUGCUCUGUGGUCCUCUGACGAGAUAAAACCCCACUGUCUAUGGAGGGACAAACCAAGAGCGCAACGCUCAGGUACCAAGUACCCCCAUUUCGGUUAUCUGGGAGAUGGUAACAAAUGAACGGCACUGGAGGGAUCAUGGUUGAGAGGACCAGCAAAUUUUUGUUGAUCGUCGUCGGAUCCGUCUUCUUCAUGCUGAUUUUAUAUCAGUACGUGGCUCCUGGAGUGAUGAACUUCGGGUCUCCACUGGGGUACCUCGCCGAGGACAACAUGGAUAUUUUCCCUACUCCUGAUCCCCAUUAUGUGAAAAAGUACUACUUCCCUGUCAGAGACUUGGAACGCACCGUUGAUUUCGAGAUCAAGGGUGAAGACGUGAUAGUGUUUCUUCACAUACAGAAAACUGGCGGAACCACUUUUGGCAGGCAUCUGGUGCAAAAUGUUAGACUAGAAGUCCCGUGUGAUUGCAGACCAGGGCAGAAAAAGUGUACAUGCUACCGUCCCAACAGAAAGGAGACCUGGCUGUUUUCGAGGUUCUCCACUGGCUGGAGUUGCGGGUUACAUGCAGAUUGGACCGAGCUCACAAACUGCGUUCCUGGAGUGCUCAACAAGAAGGAAAACAAAUCGAAAAAACUGAGGAAGUUCUACUACAUCACCCUGCUGAGGGACCCCGUGUCACGCUACCUGAGCGAGUGGCGCCACGUGCAGCGCGGUGCCACCUGGAAGACGUCCCUCCACAUGUGCGAUGGGCGCACGCCCACGCCCGAGGAGCUGCCGCCGUGCUACGAGGGUACGGACUGGUCCGGCUGCACCCUGCAGCAGUUCAUGGACUGCCCCUACAACCUGGCCAACAACCGGCAGGUGCGCAUGCUUGCCGACCUCAGCCUGGUGGGCUGCUACAACCUGUCCACGGUGCCCGAUAAGCGGCGCUCGCAACUUCUCCUCGAGUCGGCCAAGAAGAACCUGCGCGACAUGGCCUUCUUCGGUCUGACUGAGUAUCAGCGCAAGACGCAGUUCCUGUUCGAGCGCACCUUCCGUCUGCGCUUCAUCCGGCCCUUUGUGCAGUACAACAGCACGCGGGCGGCCGGCGUGGACCUGGACAACGACACGGUGGCGCGCAUCGAGGAGCUCAACGACCUGGACAUGCAGCUGUAUGACUAUGCUCGCGACCUCUUCCAGCAGCGCUACCAGUACACUCGGCAGCUGGAGAGACGUGCACACCGCUUGGCGCUUCGGGGUCGCGGUCUCGACCCCCGGGAUUUUCUCAGAGAUGAGGGCGGUAUGGGGGGCGAAGGGACAGCCAGGCUGCCCACAGAGGACUACAUGAACCACAUCAUCAACAGGUGGUAGCCUCUACCCCAUCCCACCCCAACCACCCACCUAGACACCCACUUUCCUGACCUCCCCAUUGUCUGGUAUGGUGAGGUUGCAUCAGAGUGAAUGUUUAGGGAAGUUGAAAUUUGACACUUGUGGUUUGGGAGGGAGACAGUUGCAGAGGAUUGGGUGCUGCAGUGGCUUACCUAUGGACUUUGCAUGAGGCAAGCUGUGGGUUGCGGACCAGAUUUCCCUUCCAGCUCGUGGAUGACAUAGACGUUUUGGUCUUCUUAGACUAUGUGGAGAGGUCAGAUCUUUGUGAUUGCAAGCCUCAUGAUAAACCUGAGUCACCCUCUGGAGUUCUGGAAGCAGCAACUGUCUCUACACUCCUCAGAUUUUCCUUUACAAAAAUGGACCGGGCAGCUUCCUGAAAACUGCGCUGAGAUCAACCUCUCUUGGAGCGAGGCACAGCAUGUUGCCAAGGAUGAAAGACAUGGGAGCACAUUGUGGUCAUGUCCCAUAGGGGAUGAAGAGGGUAGAUUAGGUAAGUAUUGGUUGUUUCAGUUCACACAUAAAUGACCUCAUCAAUGACUGGCAAUGAUAAGGAUGAGGCUGCUAAUUCAUAAUAAUAAUAUCGUGGUAGCAUCUCUAUGAAAUUUUUUCAAAAGCUACAUAGCCUAUUUCAUUUGAUAGACAUAUAAGUAAUUCCCUUUAUGAAUGAUGUCCACCCAAAUUGUGGCCAGAUGGAAUUUUUUAAAUUAUUCAAACAUCUUCCAAGCAAGAGGCAUAGCAGACAAUCACUCUGGCCUUUCACCAUUUUGUCAGGCAGGCUCAUUGACAAGGUAAGUUAACGCUUAAGCUUAAAUUAAUAAUCAGUAGAUGAAGGAGUUGUUUUCGAUUGAGAACAGGGCUUUACAGUGUCAUCUGCAAGAAGCCAGGAAACGUUUUGAGAAUGUGUACAGUUGUGUUGGAAACAGAGAGGGUAUUUGGAUAAUGACAUUCUCUCCCUGUCCCUGCAGAGCCAGGCAAACAAAUGGCAACAGCUGGCCAGGUUUAACCCGGGGUGAAAUCUGCUCGAGUUGAGCUCCACAUGAAGCACAGCUGAGGGCAUACCAAGGUCACAUUCAAUCACCCACUAUAUAUAAUUAUUCUCUACAGAAAGACAUUGCAUUAACAAUGUAUAAAAGCACUGCCACAAAACACACAACAGCACCACAUUAGCCAUUCUCUUGGUAUACUGGUAGCGUGUUCUCUGUUGUGUUUAUGUUUUGUUUGUUUUCUGUAGCUCAAUUGGUAGAGCAUGGCGCUUGUAAUGCCAGGGUAGUGGGUUCGA